UCCUUUUUUUUUUCAGGAGUAAACUCCAAGCGCCACAAGAAAAUAGAGAAAAUAGAGAGAAUUUGAGCGUCAAACUAGAAACAUCAAGAUUACUGCUAGGCCUGUCAAAAUUAGUGAAGGUUUAAUUUCAAAAUUAUUAGCAUUUAUCAUAGGUUUCACUGUGCUCGUUUGCAAACCAUCACCUCCGAGCAAUACAAAGUCUUGUAAUACUUUUCUAUUUACUUCUCAACCAUAGGUUCGAUUUAUGGAAGUUUAAUUGUUAUUUUUCCUUCACCUUGAGUCUCCACAGUUUCUCUCGUAGUGCUUGCUUUCGUUGCCUCCUUAGAGUUCUUUCAAUUUUGGAAUCCAAUGGAACAAUGACUCGUAGAGCCCUCUGCAUAAACCACAAGAAAACACAAUCAAAAGAUUAACAAAAAAUAAAACUAAAUACUAAAUUACUUUAGACUACUCUAUGUACUAAGUCUAAAUAUAUUCACAAUAUAAUACAAUGUUUAGACUAAUAAAACUUACUUAGCCUUAAUAUUGUCAUGAUUCCCGACAACGGCGCCAAAAACUUGACAAGAUUCAAACCUAUGCUCUAAAUUUUAAUCUAAUUCCCUCGUUCACUACAAGUAUACCAGUCGUGGCUUGUAGUACUAGGGAGUUAGGAUCGAUCCCAUGAGAAUUACUUUCAACAACUAUGGCUUUUUAUUCACUCUAUUAUCUAAAUUAAUCAAGAAUUUUAACUAAGAACAAUAAACACAAUGCUAAAACAAAUGCAAGAAAAAUUAACAACUUGAACAUAUUCAACUAAACACAAAUGUUCUAGGGUAUAGAAUCCACUAAAUGUACCUAACUAUGGAUAAAAUAGUCAAUUAUCACUCAUGCUCUUGUUUUGCUAAGGAUGUAUUUCAUUUAAUCCAUCGGAACUCGCUCUCGCCAAUCAAUCGAAUUUAGCCAACAUUAUAGUUUCCCUACUCUCACGGUGAAAUCUAAAGUGAAGACUUAAUUUAGAUCUAGAAAUGCCAAAAAUAUUCACCUAAAUGUACCACUAUUUUCAUGUGCCUACUCCUUAGGUUCCACCUAUUCCAUUUCCAUCAUUGUCAACUAUUCUCAUAAAUUAACAACUACCAUGGCUUGUAAAUGGUGAUCAAGCAUUCACAAGUGUUAAAGUAAGAAUAAGUGAACUAUCAAGUACAAGAUAUAGCAAUAAUCAAGGCAAUACAAUCCCCAUAACCAAGGCACAAAUAGUUUCAUCUAUCCUUAGAACAAGAAAUUUUACCUAGAUAUAAUAGAUUUAACACUAAGCUCAUAUUUGCAAUGUAACUAAGCAUUAAUGAAACAACAAAGAGAGUAAAAGAAAGAAAUGCUUAUUCAAGUGAAGAAACAAGAUGUUCAAGUUUCAUCAUCUUCAUAACCGUAAAAAAUACAUUGUUAUAUCAAAAGUUCUUCAAGUUCUUCAAGAGAAAAAAACUAGAUAUAAAACUAUUCUAAAACUAAGCUAGAGAGGAAAAAAAAGAAAAAGUUCUUUCCUUGGCAAGAACUAAUCUCCCUUCAAUAAUGUGUUUUUUCUUGCUAAA
rnacentral:lncRNA from 1 species